CUGGCAGUUCUUCCCCUUCAGUUUUCUUCAUCCUGAAAAUCUCUCCACCCCGAUUCCAUCUUCCCCAUGUCUCUGCAGUUUUGUUUUCCUUUUCUUUUCUUUGCUGCCAUCACUCAGAUCUCUCUCUACUCAGUAUUCCCUUCCUCUUUGCAGUUGCGUACCCCAUCCUCAUGAAUCUCUCACUCACAGAGCAUCCCCACCCUUCUCCUCAUUGCGCAUCCCCACCAUCAAGGUGCCAUCGGAGGUGGCCUCUCAUCGACGCCGAUCACCUCCUCCUUUCACCACGUCGUGCGGCUCCACUAGCAAGGGUCCUCAUUGGUUAAUUUUCUCUCACUAGUAAGUCUCUCUCUCUCUCUCUGUGUUUUAUUUUUUUUCCCUCAACAUGUCGUCCAUGGCAGUCCGUCCCUAUCAUUGUUCAAGAGCUCUACACCACGGUCAAACAUCUUCGUGCACUGCCAACACCGAAGUCACCCUCUUCAUUUCUGGUUCUGCGACAGACAAAGGUCCACCCCUCUUGCUGCCAAGGUAACAAGAGCUAACUUCCUGAACCUCCGGGAUCAGGGCGUUACAAUUGCUAAGUGGUAAUCUGUAUAUUCAGAUAUUAAAGAGGAGCAUGCAAAGAAGGAAGCUUAGAGGACACAUGGGAGGGCUAGAAUGAGAGCUAUAAAUAAGCACAUCUACGGAAUAGUCUAAGUUUUAUUUUCCUUGAAAUUUUAUCAAAGAACAAUCUGAGUUAGUUUGAUGUUUUGAACUCUAUUUAUUAUAUAUGGAGGUUUUUGUUUAUUUUCCCA